CCCUUAGAUGUUCUGGGCCGCACGCGCGCUACACUGAAGGAAUCAACGUGUGUCUCUCCUGUCUCGAGAGGGACGGGCAACCAGUUGAACCUCCUUCGUGCUAGGGAUUGGGGCUUGUAAUUCUUCCCCAUGAACGAGGAAUUCCCAGUAAGCGCGAGUCAUAAGCUCGCGUUGAUUACGUCCCUGCCCUUUGUACACACCGCCCGUCGCUACUACCGAUUGGAUGAUUCGGUGAAGCUUUCGGACUACGACUUUGUUGGUUUAUUCUGACGCUGUUGUGGGAAGUUAUCUAAACCUCAUCAUUUAGAGGAAGGUGAAGUCGUAACA
rnacentral:rRNA from 1 species